rnacentral:rRNA from 1 species
CCUACGGGAGGCAGCAGUGAGGAAUAUUGGUCAAUGGGCGAAAGCCUGAACCAGCCAUGCCGCGUGCAGGAAGACGGCCCUAUGAGUUGUAAACUGCUUUUGUACGAGGGUAAACUCAGAUACGUGUAUCUGCUUGCAUGUAUCGUACGAGUAAGGGUCGGCUAACUCCGUGCCAGCAGCCGCGGUAAUACGGAGGAUCCAAGCGUUAUCCGGAUUUAUUGGGUGUAAAGGGUGCGUAGGCGGUGUAGUAAGUCAGCGGUGAAAUUUUGGUGCUCAACACCAACCGUGCCGUUGAUACUGGUGAGCUAGAGAGUAGUUGAGGUAGGCGGAAUGUAUGGUGUAGCGGUGAAAUGCUUAGAGAUCAUACAGAACACCGAUUGCGAAGGCAGCUUACCAAACUAUAACUGACGUUGAGGAACGAAAGCGUGGGGAGCAAACAGGAUUAGAUACCCCUGUAGUC